AAAACUUCCAGAUACUUGAGAUACUCUUUCACUUCCGUUAAAAUUUUCUUGGUGGAAAUUUUAUUGAUGUUUUAGAGCUUUUCUAUUUGUUUGAAUCUUUCUUUACAUUUGUUUCUCAGUCUUUUAUUUGAUAUCUGGAUCAAUAUAAACUACUAAAGAACAUAGUUGAAGCUCAAUCUAAAGCAUGAAACAGAAAUCUGAAUGAAAAAGCCAGGAGCAAUCUUGUGUCACUGGCACUGUGAAACAUUUAAUACAUACCAGAAGUAUCAAUUUCAUGUACCAAGCUGGACACCCAAAGAUGAAUGGUAAAAGUAAUGGUUUUUAGAAUUCUCAAAACAGAAGUUAAAGUACGAAGGAGGAAGUUUCACCACAUCUACUGAGCCAGACUAUGUGCUUGAUGCAUGUGAGAGAACAAAUAAAAAUAGUGUAUGGCUUUUUAUAGAACACUAAAAUUGUUUUAAUAAUAGAUUUUUCGGUGCGUUUAGAGAAUGGUUAUCUGAUAAGAGUAAUGGAGGAAACAUGGGUGUUCUGUUUGAAUUUUGGUGAAUCACCUUCUUGAGGCACUUCAUAUACGAAUUGUAAGAAGAUAGCAACAGGCAUCUUUCAUGCCUGUUCUAGUACUGGCUGCUAGAAUAUGUCCACAAGGAAUGGAAGCAACUCUUUUCGCAACCCUUAUGUCCAUAUCCAAUGGAGGGAGUGUCCUUGGUGGUCUAAUUGGUGCCGGUCUAACGCAGGUAUUUGGUGUCACCAAGGACAGGUUUGACAACUUGGCUUUUCUGAUAGUUCUCUGCAAUCUCAGCUCCCUAUUGCCUUUGCCCUUGCUUGGUCUUCUUCCUGAUGAUGAACCGGAUACAAAAGAAAAUACCGAUAUAGAGAUGAAAUCUAAUUGAAUUCUUGCCUUCUGUGUCAUCCUGAAUCUGGCUAAGCUUUUGCUACAGCUUUUUGAGAAAACAAUAGGAGAGAAUACACAUGUAAAUACAAAUACUAAUAUCGAAUGACUAAACACAUGAGUUAUGUGAAUUCAUAAUCCCCACAGAAAAAGCUUAAGGGACUAGUGAUCUUUAUUUGUUUCGAGAUAUUGAGUAAAGGGCGAGAUAGGUCGUGAGCCUUGUUGAUCCUUAACGUAUGUAAUGCUGGAUGGUCUUGUAACUUGUAAGUCUUGAAUUCCCAUUGAGAAAUUGACUAACUUUUGGCAUUUGAUGAUCAAAUCUUUGCCAAAAGGCAUUGAACUAUUUAUAACAUUGACUGUUCCAUAUGGGAAUACUUACUGUUGGUAUAGUAAGCCAAUAGCUUCUAGCUUCUAGUUAAUAAAUGUACUCUUUGAAUUUGCUUGUUACUUUA